ACCCUCACGGAUCAAGUCCGUGGAUUUACGGGUUUCCCCGUUAGGAUAUGAUCAAACAUGUUAUAUUAUCUGAGCCGAGGCCCAAACAAUAUAAUGCAAUGACAUAAGUAUAUGCAACACAACAUCAAUGUAUCAUAAUCAUGUUAUACCCCUCGAGCCGAGCCCGACGAUUUAACUCAAUAUCUUUCACAAACAUCAAUCAUUAUCAUAACAUUAUAUAUCUAAACGCGCAACCUAGCAAUGCAUCAACCAAUACUCUUGUUUUGUAGGCGCUAGUCGCACACACAACAAUCAUAACCCAUAACCGAGACUCACCUCAACGCUUAGAUGAAAGUUUUGGACUGGAAACACUUCUAUCUCGUGGCCGGCUUCACUUUAAACUUUUAUCGGAAAACUCUAGAGCUUUAGAAAUCUUAGGGUUUCGACUUUUUCGAGCUGCUAUGGUUAGGGUUCUAAGCAUGAGAAAUGACUAAGGGGGUGGUCUGCUAUUUAUAGGCUGGAGAAUGAGCUCAGGAGAAGGUAUAGGUUGUGCGUUACAAGCAGGAGCUGUCAUGGGUGCCCCAUGCAACCAAUUGGAUAGAGAUUGGUGUGCAGCCACAAAUCUGUCCAAUUAAAACAAGUUUUGUGGCCAGCCACCAAUUCAACCAAUAGGACAUAAGCAAGAGCUCCUUGGAGGAUUCUCCAGUAAAGGAGUAAGACAUGUCUAGCUGCUUAAGG
rnacentral:lncRNA from 1 species